UCCAAAAAGUGGGUGAGGUAGGG
rnacentral:piRNA from 1 species